rnacentral:rRNA from 1 species
UACAGAGGGGGCAAGCGUUGUUCGGAAUUACUGGGCGUAAAGGGCGCGUAGGCGGCCUGCUAAGUCGAACGUGAAAUCCCUGGGCUCAACCCAGGAACUGCGUCCGAUACUGGUUGGCUUGAAUCCGGGAGAGGGAUGUGGAAUUCCAGGUGUAGCGGUGAAAUGCGUAGAUAUCUGGAGGAACACCGGUGGCGAAGGCGACAUCCUGGACCGGUAUUGACGCUGAGGCGCGAAAGCCAGGGGAGCAAAC